CUCAUCCUGCACUGAAAAACAGUAGUACUGGAAUCUGCUAUUGUCCCAGGAAUCUGAGCCAUUCUGAUUGCCCAACUAAGCUUGUGUUUGGAGGAAUGAGCAGAGGGCAGAGGUGGGGGUGGGGGGAGGUGAUGGGAGUGAGUCUCUGAUCUUUCUGGAAGGCUGAGCCCACUCAGGUGCCUCCCUACUGAUGAUGGCAUCAUCACCAUCUGGUGUACUAUUAGCCCAUUCGGCAGCCAGAAGAAAAAGAGAGGCCCGGAAAAACAAGGUCAGCUGCACAACAUGGCAAAGCUAAGAACUGUAGGCACCUGGCGCUUCAACCUCAAGGGUCUGCAAGUCCCAGGAAGAAUGUGGAAACAUCAAGCUCCCAAGUGUGUUCCUGUAAACCCAGAGGAAACCCUUUCUCCGCACCUUUUAGUUCAAGAUCAUGGACACAGGAUGCAGACUCAUAGUUGGAAGGAUCAGAUGCUGGAGGCUUCGUUGAAUAUGUUUCUUUUCUUGCUCAGUAAGAAAAGAGAGACUGUGGACCCUCUGGUCCUCACCACUAAGAGGAAGGGUUUGGCUCAGCCAAAGACUCCUCCAAAUUCUCAGAAGAGGAGCUCUCUCCAUCUCCAGACUCCACGUUCCAAGUUUGAAACUAGUUUCUGUGUUUAUCUUUGAAUUUUCAGCCAGGACUAGCUUUGGGCUUCCAGGACGAGAAGCCUUUCAUGUCACCAUGUUGGUUCCUGGGCCCUGUGAGCUGCUUGCUUCAUGUACAGAACCUGCCCAACGCAGGCAAACAGGACCCUUACCCCAAAAAGACCCUUAAAGUACUCGAUCAAUUUC